GUACGUAGGUGACAAGCGUUAUCCGGAUUUACUGGGCGUAAAGGGCGUGUAGGCGGUCUUGCAAGUCAGAAGUGAAAUUCCUCAGCUCAACUCGGGCGCUGCUUCUGAAACUGCAGGACUUGAGUGCCGGAGGGGAUAGCGGAAUUCCUAGUGGAGCGGUAAAAUGCGCAGAUAUUAGGAAGAACACCAGUGGGGAAGGCGGCUAUCUUGGGGUUGACUAAGGCUGUGGCGCGAAAUAGUGGGGAGAAAACAGAAUGAGAUACCCUGGGGGCCCACCCCGUAAACGAGGAAUACUAGUGGUAGGGGGUGUCGUCUCCCUCUGUGUCGCAGUUAACACAAAAAGUAUUCCGCCUGGGGAGUACAGCGUCAAGGUUGAAACACAAAUGAGAUUACGGGG
rnacentral:rRNA from 1 species